AACGAACGCUGGCGGCAUGCCUAAUACAUGCAAGUCGAACGAGCCCUUCGGGCCUUGUCUCGCUCGGCUGUGUAACGUGUGGGAACCUGCCCUUAGGAUCGGAAUAACUACCCGAAUGGGGUGCUAAUAUCGGAUAUUGUCUCCGGACCUAAGAUGUAUCGCCUUUGGUUGUUCCCGCGUUGGAUUAGCUAGUUGGUAGGGUAAAAGCCUACCAAGGCGCCGAUGCAUAGCUGGUAUGAGAGGAUGAUCAACCACCCUGAGGCUGAGACACGGCCCGGACUCCUACGGAAGGCAGAAAGGCGGAAUGUUGAACAACGGGUGAAAGAAUGAGGCAUCAAGGCCGCAAGAGUGUGGAAGGCCUUAAGGAUGGAAAGCUCAUUUACCCGGGAAGAUAAUGACAGUACCGGAAGAAAAAGCGACGGCUAACUCCGUG
rnacentral:rRNA from 1 species